CUUCCAAAAUUUGCAAAUUUUGUAUACUUUUGUAUUGCAAUUUUCGCAUGCAAUACAAAAGUAUACAAAAUUUGCAAGGCUAUAUUUUUCGU
rnacentral:miRNA from 1 species